rnacentral:rRNA from 1 species
ACGGGAGAUGCAAGCGUUAUCCGGAAUCACUGGGCGUAAAGCGUCUGUAGGUGGUUAACUAAGUCUGUUGUUAAAAACUGAAGCUUAACUUCAGGGGUGCGACAGAAACUGGUAAACUUGAGUAUGGUAGGGGUAGGAGGAAUUUCUAGUGUAGCGGUGAAAUGCGUAGAUAUUAGGAAGAACACCAUUAGCGAAGGCGUCCUACUGGGCCAUAACUGACACUGAGAGACGAAAG